UGGGGAAUAUUGCACAAUGGGCGCAAGCCUGAUGCAGCCAUGCCGCGUGUGUGAAGAAGGCCUUCGGGUUGUAAAGCACUUUCAGCGAGGAGGAAGGUGGUGAGCUUAAUACGCUCAUCAAUUGACGUUACUCGCAGAAGAAGCACCGGCUAACUCCGUGCCAGCAGCCGCGGUAAUACGGAGGGUGCAAGCGUUAAUCGGAAUUACUGGGCGUAAAGCGCACGCAGGCGGUUUGUUAAGUCAGAUGUGAAAUCCCCGGGCUCAACCUGGGAACUGCAUUUGAAACUGGCAAGCUAGAGUCUCGUAGAGGGGGGUAGAAUUCCAGGUGUAGCGGUGAAAUGCGUAGAGAUCUGGAGGAAUACCGGUGGCGAAGGCGGCCCCCCUGGACGAAGACUGACGCUCAGGUGCGAAAGCGUGGGGCAGCAAACAGGAUUAGAUACCCUGGUAGUCCACGCUGUAAACGAUGUCGAUUUGGAGGUUGUGCCCUUGAGGCGUGGCUUCCGGAGCUAACGCGUUAAAUCGACCGCCUGGGGAGUACGGCC
rnacentral:rRNA from 1 species